AAGGAAGUAUAUACGUAGGCACCUAGAAGCAAUUCCUUACUGCAUUUUGUUGGUAUACAAAUACAUUGACCUGGUUUAAGGCACAGUCAAUCUGCAGAGAAAGGAACCAGACAUUAACGUUAAAAUCGAAUGAAUCAACAGACUUUUAUUGGACUGGAUUUUACAAGAGAUUAUCUCAUUGGAUCAAGAUCAUUGGUUGCUACAAUUCCUCGACACUCAAGUAUAACAUCUCUACUAAUUUAUCAACACUUUCGCCACCAUUAUGCCAGGAAUACUGUCUUCAAAGAAGUUUUUACUUCUUUGCUGUUCAGAGCAACAGAUGCCUUUGCCUAUCUACAAGUGGUUUUCGAGACGAUACAAAUCACUUGAAUCCAUCGGAAUGCACGUACACAUGUCACGAUACAACACUUUUGUCAACAGAAUGUGGAGGAGAAUCAGCGUUCAGUGUAUUUCGUACAGGAGAUAAUCGCCCGAAACUUUAACGCAUUCUAGACAAAAUAAGUCCGCGCAAACUUCUAUAGAUGUUUAUUGAGGUGGACGCCGUCAAAAAGAAAUUUUUGGUCACACGCCUUGAAUUUGGGCGAAGCGAAGAGGUCAUUAUGCUCCCAAAAUGAAGCGAAUUCAAAUCUGUGCAGAGAAGCUUUGAGAAGGAUAUCAACUUCAUCUACAGUACUGUUGUAAUCAAAAAAUUGCUUAAAUCGUGGCAGCAAUUUACAUACAUGGAUCUAAGCGACUCCAAAUCUAUAGUGCAGUACCGAUACAAGAGAUUCAAUAUUUGCUGCCAAUUCUUCGGGAGACAUCGCACGUCGAACAUCAUUGCCCCCAACAAUUAGAAUUAUGUUACGAGGUUUUACUUUUUCAAUGAAACUCGCAUCCUCGCGGAGAAUGCCCGAAAUAAUGCGACCUCCUACUCCUCUAUAAAAUAUCCUAUGAUUUGCUCUUAGACCAAGAUCCUCACAGUACCUAACAUCCUCAUUACUUACUAGGAAUCGCUGAAAGCGGCGCCCAAUAGAAUGAAUUUACAGAUCGCUUUGAAAAUUUUCAAUGCUUAGCUAUCGGCCUCCUUAAAGAAAGUGAGAACCCACGCUAUUAAAAUGACGCUCCCAAGAUUUUACCGCGAAAUAAAUUCAUUGGUUACAUCCGGCGACGUUGAUUUUGUGUCCAUAUAUGAAGAUGCUGUAUAACUUUGACAAUACCGCAGGAAAGAUAACUCUAAUAUAUAUAUAUAUAUUCCAAAAAGAGUGAAAGGUGAUAUCACACAGUAUAAAAAAAAGAAAAAAAAAAAGAAAAAGAAAAUGAACAGUUCAAAAGUCUCUAUUCACUAGCGCUUUCUGGAUUUACAUCCUUCUUUAGGCAUGAGGCUUCUCGAAUACUGAAAUGAAAGUCUACGAUAGAAAUAUUCCUCGAUGUUAAAAAUCAACAGCAGUUGUCUUUCUAUUCAAUGCGGCAACGACUCCAAGUUAUAUGGUGACAUUGGCUGCAAUGCCUAUCUUAAUACAAGAUGCACCAACAACAGUAUUGAAGGAACUGGAGACUGGAAAUCUGGCCUUGAACUCUGUCAGAGUCGUGGUAUUUAUCUUUUGUGGAACAUAUCCUUAACGAAUAUAACAUCAGCAUGCAAAAAUUUUAUACAUUUGGAUCAACGCUGGAUUGGGGUGGUGAAAGACCUUUACUUUUCGAAAGAUAAUGGUGAAGUCAUUACGAGCAGUGAUUAUAAUCAUUUCAACACAUGCCAGAAAUGUAAAACUAAUGAAGAUGGACAAAUUGUGUGUCAAUACGUCUCGUGUACAAAAAAAUUGAAAAAGGGUAUCUGCACAGAGAGUGUUGCAAUCCCGCAAACAGAAACAACAGAUCUUUUAAGUAGUACUGAAACUACCACAAAGAGCAUCAUCAAUACUCUUCAGAAUGAUAACUCAAGUAUUCAAGUUGUAGUUCCCAUUGUGAUUGCUUUAUUAGUAAUCUUGUGUGUUAUUGCGGUGGUGGUCUUCCUAUAUAUCAGGAGAAAAAAAGAUUCCCAAAACAAUGAUAGAAAAGGUGGAAGUGUUCCGACUACAAAGAAUGCAGGAUCUUAUUUAAACACAGAAAUUGAAAACGACAAAAACUACUUUGUCCUUCAGCAGUCAAACCCUACAUAUGAGUUAGCGGACAAUUCUAAAAUUGAACCUGAAAGUCCCUAUAACGAGGCAGAAGAUGGUACUUAUGAUCACCUUGGAGACAAAAAUGCAAGAAAAAGACCUGCUAACGACAUAUAUAACCACGCGUCAACUGGAGGGUUAUCGGACUUGUCGGAUUAUGACGUAGCCAAUCGUAAAAAUGAGAGCAGUGAAGGCAAUACUUACGAUCGUACAGGUGUAAGAGAAGAUUCGUAUGGAAAAUUCCAAUCAGAUUUAUCUGAUUAUGAUGUAGCUAAUCGUAAACGUCUAAAUAAGGAAGAUAGUACUUACGAUCGUGCAGAAGCUGGAGACAAUUCUUAUGGAAAAUUCAACUUAUCUCAUGUUAAGGAAACCGAUUAUUCACAAUUGAGCUAACGUUAAAGGAUAAUUGUACCUUCAAAUUUAACAGUAUGUCAUAUAACUCCGAUUUUAAUAUUGAAUGGACGUCAGUGAUGUCUUUGAAUAAAAUAAUUAAAUGUUUGGAUAUUUUACUCUUUAAAAAUUUCAUUGUUAUUUUUUCUAUGUUUAAUCAUUAUAAUAUUCGAUGUAUUCAUUUGAUUUAUUUCAUAUAAGGAUCAUGAUUUUUUUUUAAAAUGAUCCUGGAUAACUCAUGUUAGGUGUUAAUAACAUUUUCAUUUUAGAUGAUAGAACAUAAAUGAAAAAAAACUUAGACAUUAAUUAAAUCGCAUUUUUUAAAACAUUAGUAAUAACUGUGGUUUCAUCAGUGUUAAAUACACAUUUUUGUACAAAUUGUUUAGUUGAUCGAGGAAAUUGAGGACGACGAACCUUAUUCGCUUGCGUUUUAAAUUCAUUUAUAUCACAAUAAAUAACUAUUCUACGUUAUCAAUACACACUUGCAAUAGUACAUACAGUGACUGACAUUGCCGUUAUUUGAUAUGCCAAAAUAUGCUUUUCAACGUUAAAUCAAACAUAAUAUACACUUUAUAUCAAAUAUCAUUUUUCAAUUUGAAGAGAAAAUCGUUUGCAGGAUCUUUUUUUUUUUUAAGAUUAUUCCUUAUUCGCCUUCCUGUUUUGUUCAUUUCAGAGAGAAAAACAAUGAAUGUUAAUUUAUUAUUUUUUUUUUAAAUAGUCUAUACUAAAAAUUCAAAAAAUAUUUCUUGUAUUUUUAAAUGAGGGUUUUAGUGGAUGCCAUUUGUGUUUUUUUUUAAAAGCGUGUGAAUGCUUAAUGCUUUUGAGACAUACAUGUUACAUACAUAGAUAUUUGAUAUACAUAAGACGUACAUGUAUGUCAUAUUUAUUCAUCAGCAGUUUGGCAAGAUUAGCCUAAUAAAACCAGUAUUG
rnacentral:misc_RNA from 1 species